GACGAACGCUGGCGGCGUGCCUAAUACAUGCAAGUCGUGCGGACCUUUUAAAAGCUUGCUUUUAAAAGGUUAGCGGCGGACGGGUGAGUAACACGUGGGCAACCUGCCUGUAAGACUGGGAUAACGCCGGGAAACCGGGGCUAAUACCGGAUCGUUUUUCCUCCGCAUGGAGGAAAAAGGAAAGGCGGCUUCGGCUGCCACUUACAGAUGGGCCCGCGGCGCAUUAGCUAGUUGGCGGGGUAACGGCCCACCAAGGCAAGGAUGCGUAGCCGGCCUGGGGGGGUGCGCGGCCACCUUGGGACGGUGACCCGGCCCAAACUCCUUCGGGGGGCACCCGUAGGGAAUCUUCCGCCAUGGGCGAAAGUCUGACGGAGGCGCGCCGCGUGAGUGGAGAAGGCCUUCGGGUCGUAAAACUCUGUUGCCGGGGAAGAACAAGUGCCGUUCGAACAGGGCGGCGCCUUGACGGUACCCGGCCAGAAAGCCACGGCUAACUACGUG
rnacentral:rRNA from 1 species